rnacentral:lncRNA from 1 species
GUGGGGUGAGGGUUAGCAAGUAACAUGGAGAAGGAAGAGAGCGUUUCCAAGUAUUUAGCAUGGGAUGGCCACUCGAGGCCUAUUAAUGAGAAAAUGGCCACAAAUCAAUUAACUGGUAAUGAUUCUUAAGGAAUUUGAAAUUUGUUCUUGGAUCACAGUGAUGUUGACACAAUUUAUCCCUGAUAUCUCCAUUAUUAGUAACUAUGCAUUCAAUUAUAGCAAUGGAAUCAGAAUUUGAAAUUUAUGGAUUCUAAAUUAUAAUUUUUAAAAAUAUUAGAUUCUAAAUUAAUAAUUUAUACAUAUUUAAUAUUUUUUUAAAAAAAUAAAUACAAGAUUUAAAUCUAAGUUAUUGAAGUCGGCUGAACCCAUAACAGACACCCUAACUCCUACUCCUGAUCAUUCACAUUAG